UACAGAGGUCCCAAGCGUUGUUCGGAUUCAUUGGGCGUAAAGAGCGCGCAGGCGGCUUGGUAAGUCGGAUGUGAAAACCCGAGGCUCAACCUCGGGCGUGCAUCCGAUACUGCUCGGCUAGAGGUAGGUAGGGGAGAUCGGAAUUCCUGGUGUAGCGGUGAAAUGACGCAGAUAUCAGGAGGAACACCGGUGGCGAAGGCGGAUCUCUGGGCCUUACCUGACGCUCAGGCGCGAAAGCUAGGGGGAGCGAACUGG
rnacentral:rRNA from 1 species